UACGUAGGUCCCGAGCGUUGUCCGGAUUUAUUGGGCGUAAAGCGGGCGCAGGUGGUUUAUUAAGUCUGGUGUAAAAGGCAGUGGCUCAACCAUUGUAUGCAUUGGAAACUGGUAGACUUGAGUGCAGGAGAGGAGAGUGGAAUUCCAUGUGUAGCGGUGAAAUGCGUAGAUAUAUGGAGGAACACCGGUGGCGAAAGCGGCUCUCUGGCCUGUAACUGACACUGAGGCUCGAAAGCGUGGGGAGCAAGCAGG
rnacentral:rRNA from 1 species